GCCAAACUGAAAGCUUUGCGGGGACCCAGACAGGCCAGUGUAAAAUUAGCUCUAAUUUAUGGGGGUGCCCCAGCACACUGGGCUCACCAGAAAAUCCCUGCUACUUUUGCUUUAUUUGUUGCUAUGAUGACUAAGGUUUGAAGGAGGAAGAAGAACCAUCAGGUAAACAAAGCACAGUUGAGGAACUGUGAGAGGGAACUGAGGGCCUGAACUUCACCUGGAGAAAAUAUCCCAAGCAAACCAAAAGCAGCUUGAGAUGGGACUCCUUGUUCUGGAGUGGUGUCGUGAGGCUCUCAAGGCACACUCCGACCAUGUGCUCUUCCAAGGAAUGCCUGCCCAAAUGGCUCACUCCUGCCCUGGACAUUCGACAAAACCAGUCCUGCUGCCCUGGCUGGGGACUGAGCUGGAUUCAAAGGCAGCCCUGUGUCAAGUGAUUCUGAGGGGUUGCUUGGGGACAAACCUCUGCCCCAUAAGAGUGCUCUGCCUGGGAGGCCAGAAAAUGGACCCAAUCCCAUCUCCUAGAACUCUUGGAAAAUAUAGCUUCUAUUUAUGGCAAGUACAGGUUCUCC
rnacentral:lncRNA from 1 species